rnacentral:rRNA from 1 species
UCGCUCCUACCGAUUGAAUGAUCCGGUAAAGUCUUUGGACCGUGACUAUCAGGUGGCAACAUCUGGUAGCUGUGGGAAGUUGAUUAAACCUUAUCAUUUAGAGGAAGGAG